GGGGGGGCAGAAUGUCAGCAUUGUUGGCAAAGUUAGAUUUUUGUGCAGUCCGGUGAACUCAUCGAUAUGAUUAACCCAAGACAUGAGCUAAGAAAGGACUCAAGAUAUGAACUCCAGCCAAGAGCUCUCAGAUUCCCAGGGAAGUUGUAAAUUGGUAAAUUCAGACAUGGAUUCUUCUCUGCCAGCUAUGCAUUCCCAGGGGGAAUUAGGAAGUUGUGCAGCUGUGCAACACAUGCACACCCCCAGAGGGAUUUUUGUUUGACAUACUAAGACUGGAAAUCAGAAAAAACACUAGUGAACAGCAACCUACGUUAGUUAGCAAAUGAAAAGCCCGAAUCAUCCGAGUAGGAAGAAGGUAGCCAGAGGUGGAUCAGGCUGAGCAGAGAGGCAAGAGAAGCACAUCCUUUAGCUCUAAGAAUUCUCUGCNN
rnacentral:lncRNA from 1 species